AACCAAAACAAACAAAAACAGCAUAAAAGAUUGAAAAGUGCUGGGGAUAUAGCUCAGCGCGCCCUGGCUCAGUACUCAGAAUUGGGCCUUGCCCACGCUGUCAGUGACCACCACCUGGUGCAGCCCCCAAAGGUCGGAGGCAGAGCCAGGGUCUCGAAGUUCCAUGCUCACAACCGGGUGGGUGAGCAUUCAUGGAGCACAUCCUUCCUGGGUGAGUUCUUCACGGCCUCCCGACCGCAUGUGCACAUGCGCGAGUGCCGGCCCGCACUGCCCGCCGCUGACCCAGGCCGUCCCUGUCCCAGGCCCUGCUGACCCCCCCAGUGCCUGGGCUUUUGGUGACAGGAAGGUGCCACCAAGUACCACGCACACAUCGUCUGCCUAAUGUCUUCCCGUAAAUACACGUACUCUUGUAAAGAAGAAAAAGGUGGUGCUGGGACGUUUUGUGCUUCCUCGACGACUUCUGUCCAGUGGAAAUGGCUGCUCCCGAGGCUCCAGUUUCAUUGCUGGAGGGGCUGUGACCAGCCUGUGUCUCACUGCGAGCUUCUUGGUUAGACACCUCUCCUGGUGAGGACAGAAACCCCUGG
rnacentral:lncRNA from 1 species